rnacentral:misc_RNA from 1 species
CGCACAUUGCGCCCAUUAGUAUUCUAGUGGGCAUGCCUGUUCGAGCGUCAUUUCAACCCUCAAGCCCUAGUUGCUUGGUAUUGGGAGCCUGCCGGUAGGCAGCUCCUUAAAGCUAUUGGCGGAGCCGCGUUGGCCCUAAGCGUAGUAAUUGUUCCUCGCUUCCGGUGUCCCAGUGCUGGCGUCUAGCCGUAAAAACCCUAAUUUUCUAAUGGUUGACCUCGGAUCAGGUAGGAAUACCCGCUGAACUUAA